rnacentral:rRNA from 1 species
UACAGAGGUCCCAAGCGUUGUUCGGAUUCAUUGGGCGUAAAGGGUGCGUAGGUGGCGCCGUAAGUCAGGUGUGAAAUCUCGGGGCUUAACUCCGAAACUGCAUUUGAUACUGCGGUGCUUGAGGACUGGAGAGGAGACUGGAAUUUACGGUGUAGCGGUGAAAUGCGUAGAUAUCGGGAGGAACACCUGUGGCGAAAGCGGCGCACUGGACCACAACUGACGCUGAGACACGAAAGCUAGGGGAGCAAACAGG